GUGGGGAAUAUUGGACAAUGGGCGAAAGCCUGAUCCAGCCAUGCCGCGUGUGUGAAGAAGGUCUUCGGAUUGUAAAGCACUUUAAGUUGGGAGGAAGGGCAGUAAGUUAAUACCUUGCUGUUUUGACGUUACCAACAGAAUAAGCACCGGCUAACUUCGUGCCAGCAGCCGCGGUAAUACGAAGGGUGCAAGCGUUAAUCGGAAUUACUGGGCGUAAAGCGCGCGUAGGUGGUUUUGUAAGUUGGAGGUGAAAUCCCCGGGCUCAACCUGGGAACUGCCUCCAAAACUGCAUGACUAGAGUACGGUAGAGGGUAGUGGAAUUUCCUGUGUAGCGGUGAAAUGCGUAGAUAUAGGAAGGAACACCAGUGGCGAAGGCGACUACCUGGACUGAUACUGACACUGAGGUGCGAAAGCGUGGGGAGCAAACAGGAUUAGAUAUCCGUGUAGUCC
rnacentral:rRNA from 1 species